rnacentral:rRNA from 1 species
UACGGAAGAUGCGAGCGUUAUCCGGAUUUAUUGGGUUUAAAGGGAGCGUAGGCGGGCUUUUAAGUCAGCGGUCAAAUGUCGUGGCUCAACCAUGUCAAGCCGUUGAAACUGGAAGACUUGAGUGUGUUUGAGGUAGGCGGAAUGCGUGGUGUAGCGGUGAAAUGCAUAGAUAUCACGCAGAACUCCGAUUGCGAAGGCAGCAUACCGGCGCCCAACUGACGCUGAAGCACGAAAGCGUGGGUAUCGAA